AGACGUCUACAUUAGACUACCCCGUAGUCCCAGCCGUAAACUAUGCGCGUUAGGUGUAUCGGUGACCACGAGUUACCGAGGUGCCGAAGGGAAACCGUGAAACGUGCCGCCUGGGAAGUACGGUCGCAAGGCUGAAACUUAAAGGAAUUGGCGGGGAGCACCACAACGGGUGGAGCCUGCGGUUUAAUUGGACUCAACGCCGGGAAGCUCACCGGAUAAGACAGCGGAAUGAUUGCCGGGCUGAAGACUCUGCAUGACUAGCUG
rnacentral:rRNA from 1 species